UACGUAGGUGGCUAGCGUUACUCGGAUUUACUAGGUGUAAAGCGCAUGUAGGCGGUUGGAUAAGUCUAUGGUGAAAUUUCCCGGCUUAACUGGGAAGGGCCCAUAGAAACUAUCCGGCUUGAGUGUGGGAGGGGUGGACGGAAUUCCUGGUGUAGCGGUGAAAUGCGUAGAUAUCAGGAGGAACACCGAUGGCGAAAGCGGUCCACUGGCCCAAUACUGACGCUCAGAUGCGAAAGCUAGGGUAG
rnacentral:rRNA from 1 species